rnacentral:rRNA from 1 species
AGAGUUUGAUCAUGGCUCAGGACGAACGCUGGCGGCGUGCCUAACACAUGCAAUCGAACGGGACCAGGGGCAANUCUGGUUCAGUGGCGGACGGGUGCGUAACACGUGAGGAACAUGACUUUCGGCGGGGGAUAGCCGGCCCAACGGCCGGGUAAUACCGCGUACGACCUCUCGGGGACAUCCCCGGUUGGUGAAAGCAGCAAUGCACCGAAAGAGUGCCUCGCGGCCUAUCAGCUAGUUGGUGAGGUAACGGCUCACCAAGGCAACGACGGGUAGCUGGUNUGAGAGGAUGGCCAGCCACAUUGGGACUGAGACACGGCCCAGACUCCUACGGGAGGCAGCAGUGGGGAAUAUUGCGCAAUGGGCGAAAGCCUGACGCAGCGACGCCGCGUGUGGGAUGACGGCCUUCGGGUUGUAAACCACUGUCGGGAGGGACGAAUGCGCCGCAANGCGAGUGAC